rnacentral:rRNA from 1 species
CAGUCGAACGAUGAAGCCCAGCUUGCUGGGUGGAUUAGUGGCGAACGGGUGAGUAACACGUGAGCAACCUGCCCCUGACUCUGGGAUAAGCGCUGGAAACGGCGUCUAAUACUGGAUAUGUCCCGUCACCGCAUGGUGUGCGGGUGGAAAGAUUUUUCGGUUGGGGAUGGGCUCGCGGCCUAUCAGCUUGUUGGUGAGGUAAUGGCUCACCAAGGCGUCGACGGGUAGCCGGCCUGAGAGGGUGACCGGCCACACUGGGACUGAGACACGGCCCAGACUCCUACGGGAGGCAGCAGUGGGGAAUAUUGCACAAUGGGCGGAAGCCUGAUGCAGCAACGCCGCGUGAGGGAUGACGGCCUUCGGGUUGUAAACCUCUUUUAGCAGGGAAGAAGCGAGAGUGACGGUACCUGCAGAAAAAGCACCGGCUAACUACGUGCCAGCAGCCGCGGUAAUACGUAGGGUGCAAGCGUUAUCCGGAAUUAUUGGGCGUAAAGAGCUCGUAGGCGGUCUGUCGCGUCUGCUGUGAAAUCCCGAGGCUCAACCUCGGGCUUGCAGUGGGUACGGGCAGACUAGAGUGCGGUAGGGGAGAUUGGAAUUCCUGGUGUAGCGGUGGAAUGCGCAGAUAUCAGGAGGAACACCGAUGGCGAAGGCAGAUCUCUGGGCCGUAACUGACGCU